rnacentral:rRNA from 1 species
CCUACGGGAGGCAGCAGUGGGGAAUAUUGCACAAUGGGCGCAAGCCUGAUGCAGCGACGCCGCGUGAGGGAUGACGGCCUUCGGGUUGUAAACCUCUUUCAGUAGGGAAGAAGCGAAAGUGACGGUACCUGCAGAAGAAGCGCCGGCUAACUACGUGCCAGCAGCCGCGGUAAUACGUAGGGCGCAAGCGUUAUCCGGAAUUAUUGGGCGUAAAGAGCUCGUAGGCGGUUUGUCGCGUCUGCCGUGAAAGUCCGGGGCUCAACUCCGGAUCUGCGGUGGGUACGGGCAGACUAGAGUGAUGUAGGGGAGACUGGAAUUCCUGGUGUAGCGGUGAAAUGCGCAGAUAUCAGGAGGAACACCGAUGGCGAAGGCAGGUCUCUGGGCAUUAACUGACGCUGAGGAGCGAAAGCAUGGGGAGCGAACAGGAUUAGAUACCCUGGUAGUCCAUGCCGUAAACGUUGGGCACUAGGUGUGGGGGACAUUCCACGUUUUCCGCGCCGUAGCUAACGCAUUAAGUGCCCCGCCUGGGGAGUACGGCCGCAAGGCAAACUCAAAUGAAUUGACGG